AUUGAACGCUGGCGGCAGGCCUAACACAUGCAAGUCGAGCGGAUGAAGGGAGCUUGCUCCUGGAUUCAGCGGCGGACGGGUGAGUAAUGCCUAGGAAUCUGCCUGGUAGUGGGGGAUAACGUCCGGAAACGGGCGCUAAUACCGCAUACGUCCUGAGGGAGAAAGUGGGGGAUCUUCGGACCUCACGCUAUCAGAUGAGCCUAGGUCGGAUUAGCUAGUUGGUGGGGUAAAGGCCUACCAAGGCGACGAUCCGUAACUGGUCUGAGAGGAUGAUCAGUCACACUGGAACUUGGACACGGUCCAGACUCCUACGGGAGGCAGCAGUGGGGAAUAUUGGACAAUGGGCGAAAGCCUGAUCCAGCCAUGCCGCGUGUGUGAAGAAGGUCUUCGGAUUGUAAAGCACUUUAAGUUGGGAGGAAGGGCAGUAAGUUAAUACCUUGCUGUUUUGACGUUACCAACAGAAUAAGCACCGGCUAACUUCGG
rnacentral:rRNA from 1 species